AUUAUAGAUCUACCAUGAUAUUAGCGCCAUCUGUCCAAUUUAUAGAACUCAGUCACUAAUCACACCGUCAGAGAUAGAAUAAAUUAUAUAGGUAUUGUGAUUUAGUGAAAGGUGUACGGUUAAUUUUGUGAUUAUUUUAUCAAAAAAUAUUUGUUUAAACAUGAUGCAAUUUAUGUUAUUAUUCAGUCGCCAAGGAAAGUUGCGUUUACAAAAGUGGUAUGUGGCACAUCCUGAUAAAUUGAAGAAGAAAAUUACAAGGGAAUUGAUUACAACAAUAUUAGCACGAAAACCUAAAAUGUCAAGCUUCUUAGAAUGGAAGGAUGUUAAAGUUGUUUAUAAAAGAUAUGCAAGUUUAUAUUUUUGUUGUGCAAUAGAGCAAAACGAUAAUGAAUUACUUACCUUAGAAAUUAUACAUCGUUAUGUUGAAUUGCUGGAUAAAUAUUUUGGAAGUGUAUGCGAAUUAGAUAUAAUUUUUAACUUUGAAAAAGCAUACUUUAUCUUAGAUGAACUAUUGGUUGGUGGCGAGAUUCAAGAGACUAGCAAAAAGAAUGUAUUAAAAGCCAUUGCAUCUCAGGAUUUACUACAGCAGGUUUUAUUAAGGUACUUUUUCAACUAUUUUUCCUUCUUUAAAAGUGCUACUAGGAUCGUUAUUAUUUGUUAGGAAGGUAUUUCAUUAAAAUUGGUCAAGUUUAUGAUAUGCACAUCCGUUUAACCGUAAGCACAGAAAUAUUCUGUGCAUAGCAUGCAACACAGACAUUUCUUUUGAAUGAUGCUUAAGCAUUUCAAACGAGGCAAUAAAUAAAUAUGUGCUUUGUGCAGCUUUGUGUAUCCAUACAAGUAUAUACUGUUAUAUGAAAAGGGUUCAGUUCACCAUUUGAAGCUGCAUCAAGAAGAUUACUUAAUUGCAAAGUAGGAUGAGACUCCACAAGGAUUCUUUGAGGACCAUGGUUUGGGAUAAUAUUUUCUAGACAAUUUGUCACACUUAAAGUAAGUGGACUUACAAUGAUCAUCCAACAUUCCAGAAUUGUAUUUACCAUAUACUAUGUUUACUACUACAUUUAAGAGUAUAGUGCUGAAGACAUCUUAAUUAAUCAGACUUAAUUUUUUAAAUUAAAUUAAUACUUAUAAUAAACGAGUACAAUAUUAUCAUAGAUAAUUAUAACUGCUUCUUCAGUAUCAUUAAUUUUUCCUGUUGAAAUAAUAGCAGUUCUACAUGACUUGAUAUUAUGUGCAUAUUUUUUAUAAGGUGCUCGUAGGAUAUUGAGUUAUAUCUAAUCACUUUUCGAAACCAAACUAUGCACAUGCAUUUUAAAACUGUGUACACUUUUCUAAUUUUUUAAUCAGUAAUUAUAUUUUUGUGUCUUAUGUAAAAAAUAAUCAAUAAUUUUCACUUGAAAACUUUUCUUCAAAUUUAAAGAAUUGUAUCAAAUUCCUCAGAUAAAAAUAUGUUCAAGUGAUGAAAUUCAGUCUAUGAAUAUAACAGUUGAAAUGCUAGAAAAUUAAUUAAAACUUUAAUUAUUCCAUUUCUCAAUCUACCUUGGACAAUAAUUAAACGAUUCAAUUAUAAGAAAUACUACAUAAAAAUCAUUGUUAACAACAGAAGAUUCUUGUUAACAGAUAUAUAAUUGUUGAUUUAAUUUUAUUAAGCUACAAUUAAGCAAAUUACACAGGUAAGAAAGUCGAAGUUUCCAAGAAGCAAUUAUAAUUUUACAGUCAAAUAAUUAUCUUUUCAUUUUAUGAUAAUACUAUCUAUUUUUAAAUAAAAAUUAAUUGUACUAUCUUAUAGUUUUCUUCAAUAUUAUCAAUCUAUUAAUGUCAUACUAAUUAUAUAUAAAUAGAAACAGGUAUGCAGAAACUUUUAAAAGACUAUUGCAAUUAAAUGUUUUAUUUAAGUGCACAAUUUUAGUAUUACAUAAAGACACAUAAAUAUUGUCUUACGUAUUUACAUAUUAUUUUACAUUGUCUCGUUUAUUCGCCUUUAAUUGUUGCUUGAAAAUUGUUCGAUUUGAAAGAGGGAAAACAGUAUUUAUUUAAAUGUGAAUACAUUUCUGUAAAACGUUUCGCAUGUUUGACAAUGUAAGGUAAUGCAAUGUCUAGAAUCCAAUUACAUCGCAAGUCCUUCAUAAACGCAUAUGUUUUAAGUAAUUAGUUCGAACGUAUCCAAACUUCUAAUUUGUAAGUUAAUAGAUUUUCAUGCAAUUGUACAUUGCGCAAAAUGGUUGACGAUUCAAAAUGGUCGUAACUGCAAUAACUAAUAAUAUUUUAGUAUUCGUGUUACAGUUCUAUUAUCUUACAAAUUAAAAAAUUAAUAAGUUUAUAGUUUAUUUACGUCAUGCAUUUAACCAUAAAAAAUAUGAGAAUAGUUAUCAGAUUUUGGAUAUACGUGACUGUAAAAACUGAAAUCUGAGCAUACGCCCAAUGGUAAUUAUGCUCCGACAAAGAGACUGGUACGAAUUAAUUCUAUUUGGUUGAACAAGUUUUUCUUGUUGCUCUGCUUUGAGGCACUUUCAUUUGUGGAAAGUCAAUUAUUAAAGCAUUUGUCAAAUGAUUGCGGGAACGUUUCAUUGGAUCGUUUUCUAGAUUAGAGAUUACUGAGGAUGUCGGUUUCACUGAAAUAUUAUUAUCACGUUGUUUACGAAGAUGUCCAUGAUCCUGUUAAUUAUCAUUCCUAUAGCAAGAUAUUUUUGCAAGUUCUGAUCGCGUUGAUCUUUCCUAUACGUCAUGGCAAAAAAAGAUGUAAUCAAUAUUAGAUGAAACUCUCACGUGAAAAAUAUGUUUGAAAAAGAAUAUUGUUCGUUGAAUGUUUAUUCAUAGUAUUGAUGCAAAUUAAUACGGGAAUAGGUGUUAUACAUAUCUGAGAUAUCUACAUAUAUAUUCGUUGUCCAUUCAUCUUAAACUCUUUCGAAAAGUAUUAUUUUCUUUCCAUCAAUCGAUGGAAAUUCUAUUAAGAUGUUACUGAAAAAGUUUUAUUCUAGCUUCCCGAUGCGCCGAAGAAACUUUCUAAUUAACGUUUUCCUUUCACAUAAAAAAAUUCCGUGUUCAGGCGUUCGGUGUUGAUCUUAAGAAUCGAUAAUUAUAAAGUCUUACUUUAAUAAUAGAUUUUUAAAAUUACGUGUUUUGAAAUCUGAGAAAAUUUUCAGUAUUUUGUAAAAUAUCCGGGCGAUAUUAAUGUGUUCUUUUCAAAUUCGAUAUGCUUGAAACAAUCAAGAAUGAUUUUGUUUUUUUGUGUUUGUUCAUAAACAUUCCAAUAUUUUUGUGCUAUGCAAUAUAUACAUUUGAACGACAAAAAUAUGUACUUAAUCGAAUAUCGGAAAUAUCUUGAAAAUUACGAUGGAAUAUAUUGCCUGGACAUUCUACUUCAUGUUUAAUUUUAAUUGUAACGCAUGAACGUUGGCAUAAGGUUUCACCAAACGAACUAUAGUUUUAGUUGAAGGAAACAAUGGCUAUGUUUAGUUAAUGUAUGUCAUGUACUUUGAGUUUAAAUAUUUAAUUGUGACGUACGUGAAGUAUAAUUGUUAAACAUUUUUUUCUGUACGUUUAAAUACUUUUGUAUGCAGUGUUGCUUUCGGCACAUACGUUCGAUGUUCUUGUUUGUUCAACAUUUAUACUUAUAUACACGGUACUAUUAAAGUUUUUAUUGGGCGACGUUACAUACAGUUCUUUCACGCAAUCAAAAAUAGCGAUUAAGUGCGCGAAUUUGUUAGAAUCGGCGAUACAGCUGGUUAUUAAACAGAUUUACGAACACUACCAAUGUUAAGCGUAUGAACGUGUAAUACGAUAAUUAUAUGAAUGUUGUAUUGAAAAGACGAUGCUUUGUGCUCCGUCCAUAAUAAACCCUGUAAUGCAAGAACAUAGAUGCUUUC